rnacentral:rRNA from 1 species
UACGGAGGGUGCAAGCGUUAAUCGGAAUUACUGGGCGUAAAGGGUGCGUAGGCGGUUGUUUAAGUCUGUCGUGAAAUCCCCGGGCUCAACCUGGGAAUGGCGAUGGAUACUGGGCAGCUAGAGUGUGUCAGAGGAUGGUGGAAUUCCCGGUGUAGCGGUGAAAUGCGUAGAGAUCGGGAGGAACAUCCAUGGCGAAGGCAGCUACCUGGACCAACACUGACACUGAAGCACGAAAGCGUGGGGAGCAAACAGG